GAUUAACGCUGGCGGCGUGCCUAACACAUGCAAGUCGAGCGGCAGCGAGUUUUACACUGACUUCUGGAAGCUUCUAGUUGAAAGAGAAGAUUUAUUCAAGAAUUUUGUGUAAAAUGUCGGCGAGCGGCGGACGGCUGAGUAACGCGUGGGAACGUACCCCAAAGUGAGGGAUAACGCAUCGAAAGGUGUGCUAAUACCGCAUAUGGUCUUCGGAUUAAAGCCUUCGGGCGCUUUGGGAACGGCCUGCGUAAGAUUAGAUAGUUGGUGGGGUAAUGGCCUACCAAGUCGACGAUCUUUAACUGGUUUGAGAGGAUGAUCAGUCAGACUGGAACUGAGACACGGUCCAGACUCCUACGGGAGGCAGCAGUGAGGAAUCUUGGACAAUGGGCGAAAGCCUGAUCCAGCCAUGCCGCGUGUGUGAAGAAGGUCUUCGGAUUGUAAAGCACUUUAAGUUGGGAGGAAGGGCAGUAAGUUAAUACCUUGCUGUUUUGACGUUACCAACAGAAUAAGCACCGGCUAACUUCGUG
rnacentral:rRNA from 1 species